UCUGUAGCUCAGCUGGCUUAGAGCAGCUGAUUUGUAAUCAGCAGGUCGUGGGUUCGAGUCCCUCCAGA
rnacentral:tRNA from 1 species